GUAGUCUCGCACAGAUGCAUAUCAAUAAGCGGAGGAAAAGAAACUAACAAGGAUUCCCUUAGUAACGGCGAGUGAAGCGGGAAGAGCUCAAAUUUGAAAUCUUCAAGGUUUUACCUUGACGAAUUGUAGUUUAAAGAAGUGUUUUCUGCUGAAGUUUUGGUAAAAGUUCUUUGGAAUAGGACAUCAUAGAGGGUGAGAAUCCCGUAUUUGACCAUUAUUUUCAGCUUUGUGAUACACUUUCAAAGAGUCGGGUUGUUUGGGAAUGCAGUCCAAAAUGGGUGGUAAAUUUCAUCUAAAGCUAAAUAUUGGCGAGAGACCGAUAGCGAACAAGUACCGUGAGGGAAAGAUGAAAAGAACUUUGAAAAGAGAGUUAAACAGUACGUGAAAUUGUCAAAAGGGAAGCGUUUGACACCAGUGUUGUUUUCUCGAAAAUCAAUUAAAAAGAGUUAGAUUUUGUUGUGUAUUGACCUUAACAGCUUGCAUUUCAAUUUUCUUGCUUUUUUUAAUGCACUUUUCGUUUAACAAGUCAACAUCAGUUUCUUUUGUUGUAAAAAGGUCAUUGGAAGGUGGCUUUCUUUUCGGAGAAAGUGUUUAUAGCCUUUGACUCCUGCAAUCGGAGAGACUGAGGUCUGCAGCGUAGAUCCUUCGGGGUUAGAUACAUUUGUGCUAAGUUAUAGCUUUUUAUAGACAACUUGUUGACUAUGAUUAGUCUUGUAGCUUACUCGCUUAUGCUAUUUUACCUACGCUUAGGAUGUUGAAGAUGUAGCACAUCAU
rnacentral:rRNA from 1 species